ensembl:lncRNA
UGCCGAGAUGAUCGCCUGGCUAAGGGCUGAGACCCUGGCUGCCGGAGGAUAGGAGGGUGGCCGAGGGAAACAGAGGGGGGUCAGCGGGUGGUUCCCGGAUGGUCCAGGAGGCGGAGACACUAGGGAGUCCCCGUAGGCGGUGCCUCGGCGGCGGGCGCUAUUUACCUGCAGUCUUGGAGCAGGUAAAAAGAACUUAAGCCCAGAAAGCGAAAACCAGAGCCGGAGGACCUCUAUUUCCUUCUUUUCUUUCCCGGAGCUUCGAGAGUCCUCGCCUCAUCGGCCUCCAACCUAUCAGCGCCCACCCACCUAGCGUCCCCUGCUCAGCCGAGAAGCCAGCGCACGCAUUAACCUCUCAGUGACCACUCGGAGCAAGGCGAGGAGCCAAGCGUCUAAGAUUCUGGUCUUCCAAGUAUACCUGGGCCUCCCUCACCUGGGUCCAGCUUCAGCUCCAUCGCCUACUGCCCACCCUGUCCCCCCACUCCAGCAACCCCAAGCCCCCGCCCGCGUCCUGUAGCUCCGCUGGGGCAGGGAGGAACUCUCCUGACUCCAGAGUUGACUCGGGCCACUGGAGAGUCAAGUUCCUCAAUCUCGACCCUGCCCAGCGUGGGAAGCCAGACCAGAGUGGAAGCCUGACUUCACACCGAGGCCCACAGCCCCCGCCCCAAGAGGUCUUCUACUUUGCUGUCCUUUCAGCUUGGCUAUUGCGCUACCACUACACAUCAUUCCCGCAGCUGGCAGAACUAGCACCUGGAGCCAGGAAACACCAAGGUUGCCCUCCGCAGUGCACUCAGACUGACCCCGGGUCACUGGAGUACGUCCGGAGCCGGAGCCCUGUAGUCUCUGCACUUCUUCCCAGCUGUGUGGCCUACAAGCCUUGCGCAGAGUCGUGGGCGCAGCUCCGAGUUCUCUAGUAGUUUUACUCCCCACCCCACCCCUCCAUUCCUCCCAGGGAACAUCGCUCUCGACCCGGCACACUGCAAAAGGGUAGAAACACAGUGGGGUCCCUGCCACAGAGCCCGAUGGGCAGGUUGGGGGCGGGGAAGCAGGCCUGGCUGGGGCGGAGCGCUUAAGCCUUGAGGGGCGCUGCUGUGGUGGAUGCGGAGAAGGGGCCACGUGCAGGGAGCGGCGGCCCGAGAGCUGCACAGAAGGCGGGGAGAUUUGCAAACUGUUGCUGCCACAUGGCUGCUCCAUUCGAUCCAUUCACAUUGAAAUGAGGCCGGCGCGUGCCUCAUCUGCCGCAGGGCGCUGCCACGCGUCAGCCCGACCCGCCGCGUGCCAACUGGGGCAGUGGGGCUGGCAAAGUCUGCCAGCCGUGGGGGCUCAGCCCAGGCCCUACAGCCAGGAGGGGGUAGGGGAAGGGCGUCGAGCUACCCUAGCCACUCAGGCGCCACUGUUUCUCGGACCUUGGCCCUGCAAUUGCGAUUGAGCCGGCAGAAAGGACCAGGACGGACGGUUUCAAAAGGGGGCCAGGAUCGAUGCCGCCGCUCCCCGCAGAUGCGCCCCGGCAGCGCUACUCUCCAUCUGCUGCUGCUCGCACCUGCCGGUCAAUAAAUCGAUUUUACAAUUUAAUGCA